rnacentral:rRNA from 1 species
CUAACGGCUGAACCAGCAACUUGCAGGAAUGAGAGUUAAUAUAAUAAGUUAUUAACUUGCUUGACUAGGUCUUAUAAAGUUCUGGAUAAAGCUUAUUAUGAAAACUUUAUAUCCAUAGGUCUCGACCAAAUCUUGUGCCAGCAGUCGCGGUAAGACAAGGGAGACGAGUGUUAUUCAUCUUUAACAGGUAUAUAGGGUACCUAGACGGUGUGCAAUGGCUUAAAUAAGUACCUGGUACACUUGAGUUUGAUAUGUGAGAGGAAUAUGUCGGAAUUGUUGGAGUAGAGAUGAAAUGUACUAAUACCAAUAGGACUGAUAACGGCGAAGGCAAACCUCUAUGUACAUGUACUUGCUAUUUCUAUUUGUUUAUUUUUUUUUCAUUAGAAAAAAAAAACUAAAAAUCUCUUAUAAAAUAUAUAAGAUAGAUAAAGAGGAAAAGAGCAAUGUACUAUAACUGACGUUGAGGGACGAAGGCUCAGAGAGUGAAGAGGAUUAGAUACCCCCGUAACCUGGGCAGACAAUGAUGAGUGCCAUAGGUUGGCUUUAAGGCGGAACUAUAAAUGAAAGUGGAAGCACUCCACCUCAAGAGUAAUGUGGCAACGCAGGAACUGAAAUCAUUAGACCGUUUCUGAAACCAGUAGUGAAGU